GGGGGGCGAAGCAGGCAGCCCACCGGGACGGGCCAGUGGCCCAAGGCCGGACCCACCCCCCCCAGCAGACACCUGCUGCUCUUCAGACCGGGGCCCAGCCGGGCCACAUCCACACCCGGGCUCAGCAGCGGCUCAGGUCUCGCGUCCUCGCCUGGCCCCGAGGCACGUGACGACCUGGGCUCGUGUCCUCCAGCCGCACUCGUUUAAGCCACCGAGCCCCCAGAGCUCAGGCCGUGCAUCCUGAGUUGCGUGUCAGAGAGCAUCCAUCCUCGUGAGAUGGUCCCUCGUUCACCUCACAGCCACCACGCCACCAAGGACACAGCAUCCGGGGACACUUGUCAGCUCUGCCGGGACCCGGGAGCCGGAGCGCCCCAGGGCAGGGGAGGGAGGUGGGUGGCAGGAAGAGGAGGAGGAGGAGGAGGGCAGAGGCCUCGAGGACACCUCUGGCGGAGCCGCUCCACGGCCAGGGCUCAGUCUGCAGUCAGCUCACCUCGAGGAGGGGACGCCGGGACACCGAGGGCUAACACCCAGGCUACCGAGGACAGGUGGCGAGGCAGACAAGUGAAGAGAGACAGUAUGAAGACCACGUUCAAAGGGAAACAAACGACAAUGUAGUGAAAUGGACAGAUGGAUGAGGAGGGGCGGGAAAUCCUGACGGAUCCAGAACUAGUGAGGAGACCGCACCGGUGAGCACAACUCUCCCAACAAAGACAGGCCGUGGACCCGACGGCUCCGCUGGUGAAACCUACCAAACAUCUGGAGAAGUAACCCCGAUCGCUCCCAAGUUUCUCCAAAACACUGAAGAGGGGAACACUUCCUGCCUUGUGCUGCGAGGCCAGAAUGAAGCCAGACAAGGACGCUACACGUAAGGAGCAAGGAGCCCAGAUCGGCCUCCGUUGUGAGCACCGGUGCAGAAACGCCCGAGAAAAUACUAGCAGCCAGCUCAGUAGCCUGUCGGAAAGAUCACACACUGUGACCGAGUGGAACUGACGUCGGAAGGGGGGCCCGGCGUGGGGAGACCGGUCAGCUACAACCCGUCACGUCAACAGACUGGGGUAAAAACGCACGACCUGAGUCGCUGCGAAUAAAGCACGUGACAGAAUUGCCCACCUUUUCCUGCUAAAACCAGUGAAAUCAGGAACGCAGGGAUAGUGCCUGCACGUAAUAAAAGCCACACCUGCAAACCCCACAGCACACGCUACAUCGACGGGAGCUUUUCCUUCAUCGCAUUCGACGCUGUGCUAAACAGCACAGCCAGAGCAGCUGAGCGCGGAGGAGAGACAAAAGCCAUCGCAAUCGGAAAGGACAAGCAAAACCAUCUCUGCUCGCAGGGGAUGUGAACUUACGUGUAGAAAACUGCAAAGAUCACACAGGCACACACAACACGCCGGGUAGAUGGUUGCAGAAUUCAGCGAGGCGGGUGCGAGUCAAGAAGCACGAAGCAACUGCAUUUCUGUGUCGCCUGUAUCGUUUCCACCAACCGCGAACGGUCUUUAAAAGAAACGACUCAAACAAUUCCGUUUACAGGCGCAUCAGAAGGAAUCCGGGAGUUGUGAGUUAACAAAGGAGGCAAAAGCCGGGUGCGGUGAAACCUGAAGAUAUCAUGCCAAGAAAUGAAAGGAGGGAGGCACAGCCCCCGUCCUGGACCGCAGAGAAGCUGCCGGCACCAGAGUGAUGGAGAGAUUCAGCGCUGUCCCCCCAAACCCUGAUGGGGGCCAUCUGUACGAGGGAGUAUCACUCAGCCUUAUAAGGAAGGAGGUUCUGACACCUGCCCCAGCAGGGAUGGGCCCUGGGGUGGCCCAAAAACCUGCCCCUUGGAGCCCACGCGGAGGACGACCGUGGAGGCCAGGACCACGAUGGGGUCCGGGGGGGAAGGCGUGGCGUGUCAGUGGCCAGACCGCCGGCUCAGGGGAAGGAGCCGGACGAAGACGGCAAUGCUGAUCCUCCUGCCCCUGGAGUCCGGCCCUGGCAGGGGGCCUCACGGGGUGACAGGGCAGGCCCUGGUCCGUAGCGCACCCCUGCCCUCCCCGCCACGAGGGGGUGGCGGGACACUGCCCCCAGUGUUGGGGGCAAGCUCAGUAGAUACGGGGGGAAGCCUAGGAGAGUUUACCUCUUUCCUGUUGCAAAAAAGUUGUGUUCAUAACACUGAAUCCUUCGGGGGGGGGGGUCGUGUGACCUCACGGGGGCAGUGGCCACGUGCACCGCCCAUCCCCCGCUCCCCAGCCCCACAACCCAGGGCCUGCCCCGGUUGGCGCUCAGUGUGGAUCCACCGGGCGAACGAGAGAGCGGGGCCGACGGCCCCCCCCCCCGCUCGCAAGGCUCCGUCCUGUUCACGUGUCCCCCAAGAACCCGGCCCUGCCGGGUCCCGGCAGGCGGGAGGAGCCCGUGAUGGGCGAGGUCUGAACGCACCACGGGCCUCCAGGGUUUGGCCGUCACCUCCGCGUUCCCCAAGUGGAGACACGGGCACCGGCAUCUUUGUGGAGAAGGGGUCACCUGGCCACUAGGGGGUCCCCAGAAGAGCCGUCCUCGGGGCCUCCCUCCACGCUCUGCCUGCACAUCCACACACCAUCCGGCUUAUCAGUCAUUCCAUAGUUUUCGUUCUUGUUUUCAUGCAAUUCUUACCAUUUAAAUCCCUUCCACAGCUGUGCCCCGCGUAGACUCAAAGCACAAGAAACGUCUUCUGAAAGACCUCAAGAUAACGAACUAUCAGCGAUUGCUGAUCGCUGAGACCCGAAUCAUCUUCGUCUCACUCGUGGGGAGAACCUGGUCCGGAGCCACCCCCGCUCUCCCAGGGCUGGCUGCCUGAGAACACGGACUCCCCCCUGGAGGGGUGAGGUGUAGGAAUAAUUUAAAGCAACGCUAAUCCUCAAAUCCUGUUUGAGUUUGGAAUGCAGCGCGAGGCCCGGCGGGCCGCAUGGGGCGCUCACCGUGUGUGUAAGCGAGGCCCAGGCCCCGGGCGGGGCUGAGCUCGAGGUGCCCUGCUGCCCGCACGCUGGGAGGGGAUGGGGACGGGCAUGAGGCGGUGGGACGGAUGUUCGCCUGGAGUGCUGGGUGGGGUGGCACUCAGGGUCAAGGCCACAGCCAGGCCCUCAGAGCUGGGUGCCGCCUGCUGGGGCUGCGGGGGGCUCGCCGUGGCUCAAGCACCCCACGGGCAGGCUUGCUGGCCAGCCCGGCCCACCGCUCUCUCUUGAAGCCACCUGUCCACCGGCCUGGGCUCCGGCGGGGGCUGUGGCCCAGCAGGGGCCUUGGAAUGUUUUCACAGGAGGGCUGGAGGCUGCUGCGGGGCUGUGACUGGCCUCGACCGUCCACUUGCAGAGACCGGUGGCGGGGAGCCUGCAGGAGGACUGACCUCUGUCAUCCCGUGGUGUCACCCCUGAUUCAGGCCCUAAGCAAGCCCCAAAGGUGAACUAAAGGGCGCCCAGAGCCUGCCAACAGCUGUCACCUCCCCCCAGGCUCACUGCUCAAGCCUCUGCUGUCGCUCCCCACUUUCCACACCAGAGGGUCAGGGUCUGUGGCCCCCUUCCCAGGGCCCCACCCCCCUACCCUAUCCUGAGAGCCUCCCAUUGGCCCGCGGCAGGCCCACACCCCAGGUGCUCCCCUCCCCCCAGCUCCCCACUCUGGGUCCUUACCCUUCCUCGGUCCAGCUCAAUACCCCCCACCCCCUGGGAGCCGCACCCACCACCCCUGUGGAAGCCACGUGGCUCCCCCGCCGAUAGCACAGCCAGCCCAGGGGCCCUCUCGGCCAGCUCCACGUGGUGCGUGUGUGACCCCAGGUGAGGAAUUUGAGCAAACAUUUCUCUAGAGAAGACGUGACGGCCCACAGACACCCAGAAGGGUGCUCGCCAUCAGGGCGACGCGGAUCGGAACCGCGGUGAGAUAGCGCCGCGCGCCUGUCACGAAGGCUCGAGCAAGAAAAGAUAAGAAACCACAAGUGUCGGCGAGGACGUGGAGAAAGGGAGCCCUCGCGCGCCGCUGGAGGGAACGCAACCCGGUGUGGCCACCACGGAUGGAGCCCAGGUGGAGGUGCCUCGGAAAGUGACAGUUCCUGUAAGACCCAGGAACUCCAGUCCUGGGGAUUUAUCCAGGGAAGAUGAAGACGCUGAUUCAAAAAGAUACCUGCACCCCCACGCUCACUGCAGCGUUACUGACGACAGCCAAGGCAGGGCGGCGGCCGGAGGCUGCCCACAGAAGGAGAAGGAAACCCUGCCGUCCGCAACGACAGCUGGACCUCGAGGGCACCACGGCAAAUGGCAAAUGCCCCAGAUUUCACUCGUGUGGAAACCGCACAUACACGCGAAACCAAGCCCGUGGGUUCGGAGAACAGACUGACGGUUGCUGGG